rnacentral:rRNA from 1 species
GAUGAACGCUGGCGGCGUGCCUAAUACAUGCAAGUCGAGCGAACGGACGAGAAGCUUGCUUCUCUGAUGUUAGCGGCGGACGGGUGAGUAACACGUGGAUAACCUACCUAUAAGACUGGGAUAACUUCGGGAAACCGGAGCUAAUACCGGAUAAUAUUUUGAACCGCAUGGUUCAAAAGUGAAAGACGGUCUUGCUGUCACUUAUAGAUGGAUCCGCGCUGCAUUAGCUAGUUGGUAAGGUAACGGCUUACCAAGGCAACGAUGCAUAGCCGACCUGAGAGGGUGAUCGGCCACACUGGAACUGAGACACGGUCCAGACUCCUACGGGAGGCAGCAGUAGGGAAUCUUCCGCAAUGGGCGAAAGCCUGACGGAGCAACGCCGCGUGAGUGAUGAAGGUCUUCGGAUCGUAAAACUCUGUUAUUAGGGAAGAACAUAUGUGUAAGUAACUGUGCACAUCUUGACGGUACCUAAUCAGAAAGCCACGGCUAACUACGUGCCAGCAGCCGCGGUAAUACGUAGGUGGCAAGCGUUAUCCGGAAUUAUUGGGCGUAAAGCGCGCGUAGGCGGUUUUUUAAGUCUGAUGUGAAAGCCCACGGCUCAACCGUGGAGGGUCAUUGGAAACUGGAAAACUUGAGUGCAGAAGAGGAAAGUGGAAUUCCAUGUGUAGCGGUGAAAUGCGCAGAGAUAUGGAGGAACACCAGUGGCGAAGGCGACUUUCUGGUCUGUAACUGACGCUGAUGUGCGAAAGCGUGGGGAUCAAACAGGAUUAGAUACCCAGGUAGUCCACGCCGUAAACGAUGAGUGCUAAGUGUUAGGGGGUUUCCGCCCCUUAGUGCUGCAGCUAACGCAUUAAGCACUCCGCCUGGGGAGUACGACCGCAAGGUUGAAACUCAAAGGAAUUGACGGGGACCCGCACAAGCGGUGGAGCAUGUGGUUUAAUUCGAAGCAACGCGAAGAACCUUACCAAAUCUUGACAUCCUUUGACAACUCUAGAGAUAGAGCCUUCCCCUUCGGGGGACAAAGUGACAGGUGGUGCAUGGUUGUCGUCAGCUCGUGUCGUGAGAUGUUGGGUUAAGUCCCGCAACGAGCGCAACCCUUAAGCUUAGUUGCCAUCAUUAAGUUGGGCACUCUAAGUUGACUGCCGGUGACAAACCGGAGGAAGGUGGGGAUGACGUCAAAUCAUCAUGCCCCUUAUGAUUUGGGCUACACACGUGCUACAAUGGACAAUACAAAGGGCAGCGAAACCGCGAGGUCAAGCAAAUCCCAUAAAGUUGUUCUCAGUUCGGAUUGUAGUCUGCAACUCGACUACAUGAAGCUGGAAUCGCUAGUAAUCGUAGAUCAGCAUGCUACGGUGAAUACGUUCCCGGGUCU